rnacentral:rRNA from 1 species
CGUGGAUAACCUCGGGAAACUGAGGAUAAACCGCGAUAGGUCAUCACUUCUGGAAUGGGUAAUGACUUAAACCUAUAUGGCCCCUGGAUUGGACUGCGGCCGAUCAGGCUGUUGGUGAGGUAAUGGCCCACCAAACCUGUAACCGGUACGGGCUCUGAGAGGAGGAGCCCGGAGAUGGGCACUGAGACAAGGGCCCAGGCCCUAUGGGGCGCAGCAGGCGCGAAACCUCUGCAAUAGGCGAAAGCUUGACAGGGUUACUCUGAGUGAUCUCCGUUAAGGAGAUCUUUUGGCACCUCUAAAAAUGGUGCAGAAUAAGGGGUGGGCAAGUCUGGUGUCAGCCGCCGCGGUAAUACCAGCACCCCGAGUGGUCGGGACGUUUAUUGGGCCUAAAGCAUCCGUAGCCGGUUCUACAAGUCUUCCGUUAAAUCCACCUGCUUAACAGAUGGGCUGCGGAAGAUACUAUAGAGCUAGGAGGCGGGAGAGGCAAGCGGUACUCGAUGGGUAGGGGUAAAAUCCGUUGAUCCAUUGAAGACCACCAGUGGCGAAGGCGGCUUGCCAGAACGCGCUCGACGGUGAGGGAUGAAAGCUGGGGGAGCAAACCGGAUUAGAUACCCGGGUAGUCCCAGCUGUAAACGAUGCAGACUCGGUGAUGAAUUGGCUUAUUGCUAAUUCAGUGCCGCAGGGAAGCCGUUAAGUUUGCCGCCUGGGGAGU